GAUGAAGAACGCAGCGAAAUGCGAUAAGUAAUGCGAAUUGCAGAAUUCAGUGAGUCAUCGAAUCUUUGAACGCACAUUGCGCCCUGUGGUAUUCCGCAGGGCAUGCCUGUCCGAGCGUCAUUGCUGCCCUCAAGCACGGCUUGUGUGUUGGGCCUCCGUCCUCCUCCCGGGGGACGGGCCCGAAAGGCAGCGGCGGCACCGCGUCCGGUCCUCGAGCGUAUGGGGCUUCGUCACCCGCUCUUGUAGGCCCGGCCGGCGCUUGCCGACACAUCAAUCUUUUUUCCAGGUUGACCUCGGAUCAGGUAGGGAUACCCGCUGAACUUAAGCAUAUCAAUAAGCGGAGGA
rnacentral:misc_RNA from 1 species